rnacentral:misc_RNA from 1 species
AAGUCGUAACAAGGUUUCCGUAGGUGAACCUGCGGAAGGAUCAUUAACACUCCAAAACUUCUCAUAGCUCUGGGAAACCAGAGUUUAUGAAACCCUAUUCACAAUACGAACCCGGCAGGUGUUGCUUUUCGGAGCUGCAUCUUGCUACUCUUUUGUCCAUUCUUUUUUUAACCCAACAUACUUUUUCUUAUUGUCUGACUGGAAGGCCUUUACUGUGUCCUUCCGUUGCUCUUGCAGCUAAACCCUGUAAGGCAAUGAAAACUAUAAAAACAAAAACAAAAAAACAACUCUUAGCAACGGAUAUCUUGGUUCUC